rnacentral:rRNA from 1 species
AUGGAAAAGCGUCAGUUAACUACGGCUGAGUUCAGUUUGAGAAAACUUUUGAAGCAGAGAAUUGUUGGUCUGGCUGCUGUAGAAAGAGCUAGGCGACGCCAAGCCUCUCGGAUAACUUGGUUAAAAGCAAGUGAUGCAAACACUGUGUUCUUCAACGCCAAAAUCAACUCCAGGAAGAGAAAAAACUUCAUUCAAUCUCUGAAGACAAACAGCCAUGUUGCAACAGAGCAUGAUGAGAAGGCCAACAUCAUCUAUGAGCAUUUCAACAAGAUCAUGGGAGCUGCUGAACCACGGGGUUGCACCAUCAAUUGGACUGAAUUGCAGCCGCCCACGAUACAGACUGAGGGGCUCGACGCCCCUUUCACUGAAGAUGAGGUUUGGGCGACUAUGCUGGCCUCACGGGCCGAGAAGGGACUGGGGCCUGACGGCUUCAAUGGACAGUUUUUUCGCUCAUGUUGGGAUAUAAUUAAGGAUGAAGUGGUGGCUGUGUUCAACCAAUUCCAAAGCCUGUCUGGUGCAAAUUUUGCAAUGAUCAACUCAGCUUUCAUCGCGCUGCUACCAAAGAAAGAUCGCGCUGAAUCAGUUGGGGAUUUUAGGCCAAUCAGUCUGAUCAACUCUAUGGCAAAACUAAUCACUAACAUGUUGUCUGUGCAGCCGGCUGGAAGGAUUGGAUCGAUCAUCUCGCCGGCACAAAGUGCAUUCCUCAAGUCCAGAUGCUUGCAAGCCAACUUCCUGUAUGUAAGAAAUUCGGUUCGCUCGCUCCACUGGAGGAAGAAUCCAGCACCCCUGAUCAAGCUUGAUAUUGCUUGA